UGAAAUAAAUGUCUUUACUGUCACUUUUGACAAAUUUAAUGCAUCCUUGAUGAAUAAAAGUAUUAAUUUCCUUAAUGCAAAUUUUUACUCACCCUAUACUUUUGAACAGCAGCGUAGGCAGUGUGAAACAAACUUGACGUAGAGUUUGAUAUUAGCUGACAUCUAAACUAAUGACACAUUGCUCUAAUAAUCAUGAAAUUUACAUAGCACACAAAUAUGUGGAAGAAUAGUCCAUUUUAAUUCAUUUCCUCGCUAGGCAGCUCACAAAGUUUUUCAGCAGAGCUGGAGUCUGAAAGAGAAAGGGAAUUCAGGAUUUAAUUCAUUGAGUUUGCAGCACUAGAAUGUUCUAGUCUAGAAUGUUCUUUCUAAAAAAAAGUCUACUGCUUAUAUCCAUUCAGAAGCUCUUCCAGGUUUGUGGACUAGUCAUGUGACUAUCACUGAAAACUGAGACCCACAGCAUUUGAUCACUGGAUUUACAGAAAUCAUUUCACUUUUCAGAAGUGUUCUCUCAACAUUGCAAUUCUAAUCAGCUCCUAAUGAACACAUUAAUUAUUAUUUGAAUUAUCACUCAGUGAGUCAUUAAACCUUGUAUUACAAAUAAAAACAACUGUAUCUGUUUAUAGUAAGUGUUUUAUUUAGAUUUUUUUUUUUUUUUACAUAUAUAUUUUAAUUUAUUUUAAUUUUGGGAUGUAAUAUUUAAUGCACUUCAUGUUAACAAAGAAUGCAAUAUAUUCUCUUUGCUUUUUUAUAUCAACAUGCUACAAGAUUAUCCUUUUCAAAUCAAUGUGAUAAACAAGAAGGUCAAAAGUAAUCUAAAAGUAAUCAGAUUACAUUACCUUAAAUGUGUAAUGUAAUGGAUUUUGGAUGUAAUUUGGAAUCAGUAAACGAUUACAAUUUAUAAAUAAUUAAUCAUUCUCUGUCAGAUCAACAAUUCAUAGUUUUCAUGUGAGGUCACACCCUUAAAGUAACACCCACCUGGAGGGCAAAACAAGAUUUUUCUUCUGCUGCCAGCCAGUCAUUUUCAACAGGUUUGUAGUAAGUACUUAUCUAGUAAGACAGUGAUAUUAAAAGACCAAAUUCAGUAUACACCUUAUAGAUAAUGCACACUAUAUACAGGGGAGCAGAUGAACCGUGAAUAUAAACACAACACACAGUUUCUGGUUAAGUGUUUGUCCAUAGAAAACCAUUAUAAAGAAAACAACACAUUGUGUUUGUAUCUCCUCGCCUGUAUAUAGUAUGCUUCAUCGAUGAGCUGUAUACUGAAUUUGAUUGUUUAAUAUCACUGUUUUAGUACACUAAGGCACUUUAAGUGUUUUUCAUGUUAAGUGUUUUAGAACAAGUGCACAAAAACUUACACAUAUUUUUGUAUUUGUUCUUUUGAGAUGGAAAACUGACAGGCCUGUUCAGUGGAUGUUUUACCCUCCAGGUCUCCGCGGCAGUCACAUGACCGAAAACUAUGACUAGUCAUGUUGGAGCAACAGUUUGAAGAGAGAAUCUCGAUAUUUGAAGGAAACUAUCAAACUGAAGUUUGCAAAAUGGCACAGCAACAUCAGGACUGAACACUUGAAAUGCAUUGGAAAUGAAAGGAAGAAAAGGAUACAAAAUAGGUUUUCGGAGGGAGUUGGUGAGUCCUUUCCCAAAGGUUGGUUUUGCUGAUGGUGUCAGGCCAUCAGAUCUGGAGAAAUCUUCUGAGACAGCUGUUGAUGAAGGUUUGGACCUUCCUGAUGGCCAUCUUGAGAUGUAUGUAGGCCGUUCUUGCUUUGCCAAUCCUUGCCUUGACAUCUGCGUCUGUGCCGCCCUGUUGGUCAAUGAUGCUGCCCAGAAGACCAGAACACAACUAGAUGGGCACUCUCCACACCCCUAUCAAACCCGCUGACCUGCUGCUCAC